rnacentral:tRNA from 2 species
GGGCAGUUAGAUCAGCUGGAAGAUCGCCUGCUUUGCAAGCAGGAGGCCGCGCGUUCAAAUCGCGCACUGUCCACCA